ensembl:lncRNA
CAGAGAGAGAUUGAGAUCAGAAGGGCUUUUUGCCCAGUCAAAUGGGCCUCCGGUGACAAAUCAAUCACGGCCUGUUCAAACCAAUGAUGCUGCCAGUCUCCAGUUUGCCAACCCCUCCACAGCCUCCCCCGGCUCUUCCUGCCUCUCUACAUGACACUCAGCUGAUGGCUGGGGCUCCAGUCAGAACAGGCUGCUUUUUACAGGUUCACCAACCACCAGACCAGGCUGCCCAGAGCCACAUCCAGCCUGGCCUUGGAUGCAUCUAGGGAUGGGGCAUUCACAGUCUCCUUGGGCAACCUGUUCCAGUCAAGCAUUUAUGAAGCUUAACUUGGGACUCAACGUUUCUCAAGACCCUAAUUUAGAAUGAUUUACACAGACUCUACUAACUCAGUGAAGAUAUGUGGCGAUUUCUGCAAUGGAAAGAAUCGAGAACAAUUUCAAAGCUACAAACUGAAGCACCACGUGAUCUCCCACAAAGCAGAAGUUCUUCAGAAAGCUCAGUGCUUCAUGGUUUCUGUAGUUCUUCAGUUGGGCUUCAGGUUGAAUUGUGUUUUUUUAAUCUAUAUUCUGUGCUCUCAAAGAAAUAUACUGGCCAGCUAGAUCAAUAAUUCUUUGACCUGAGCUUUAUCACUAGCUAUAGGUAUUGAGCGAUGUGAGAAGGAGCAUAGACUUUUUCAACACUCCAAAAUGAAAGCUAAAGAAAAGAACAAUUUUUAAUAAUCAUCCUCUGACAUCAGUUUGGAUGCUUGGAUUAGUUUCCUCUCAAAAAAAUUGAAAGAAAAAAAUAUAUAGGAAUUUUUGUUUCUUUAAAAAUAAUAACUAGUUUUAGUUAUUUUAACACCAUUUUUAUGGUGGCAAUCUUGUAAUUCUUUAAUUCCUUAGGUCAACAAGAUAAAUGCAUGCCUAAAGACCCAGAAACAGAAAAUAUGAUCAAUGUUGUAAGUGAUCCAAGCAAUGGAAAUAACAAACAGAAUAAAAUAGAUUUUCUGAACAGAUAGCUCUGGUAGACUUUUUGCUAGUUUGCUGGAGAACUAAUAAACUUUUUUUUUUUUUUCUUUUUAAAUAUUUCUCAUAGGAGAUUCUUAUGGGGAAAAUGUAGUCCCUCAAGAGACGGUAGCACAAGGAAAUGUUUGCCAUAUUUAGAUCUCCUUUCACUAAAAAAUGAAGAGGUCAUUUCAGGUCAAUCAUCCUGGGUUCUUUUCUUUAAGGGAAUGAGUCUCCAGCAUGGCUCUUUAUAUUAAAGGACUUCAUGGGCCUGAGUUAUAGCUAUUGGUAUAAUCACAGGUUUCAGAAAUAAGAAUAGUUAUUUCGUGUUUCUUUGUGAAUGGAGAAGGAAAAGGUCAUUCAGUGGAUGGUACUUCAAACACUUAAAAGGAAAGGUAUUUUACUGCUUACUUAGCUUUUUAUGUACUAUAUAGAAAGUACGCAUAAUGUCACACUGCUAUGUAGACGCAGAAGGAAAGACCCUUUUUUACUUUAUGAGAAAACUUGAGAUACCUCUGCGUUUCUUAUUUUGACAAUGAAACCAUAAGGUCUAUGAAAUCAUGGAUGAUAUGAAGAAGAUAAACAGUCCUUCCCUGGUAUUUCUAAUGUAAGAUUUAGUGAAGAUCAAAGUAAAUAAUUGUGACUGAUUCAAUGCAAACAAACGAAAAUGUUCUUUUCACCCGGCCUAUUAACCUAUGGAAACUCAAUGCCAGGAAAGGGAUUGGAUUUUGAACUAUAGAUUUAAAACCAACAAAUUCAUGGAAAUAUAAAACCCACCCAAAGGUAUUAUAUAAAAACAGUGCUGAGAAAAUAUUUGAAUUUAUU